AGAAUACAGGAUGUGUGAGUAAGACUACAGUAUGUGUGAGUGAGACUACAGUAUGUGUGAGUAAGACUACAGUAUGUGUGAGUGAGACUACAGUAUGUGUGAGUGAGACUACAGUAGGUGUGAGUGAGACUACCAUAUGUGUGUGAGUGAGACUACAGUAUGUGUGAGUGAGACUACAGUAUGUGUGAUAUGUGUGAGUGAGACUACAGUAUGUGUGAGUGAGACUACAGUAGGUGUGAGUGAGACUACAGUAUGUGUGAUAUGUGUGAGUGAGACUACAGUAUGUGUGAGUGAGACUACAGUAGGUGUGAGUGAGACUACCGUAUGUGUGAGUGAGACUACAGUAUGUGUGAGUGAGACUACAGUAGGUGUGAGUGAGACUACAGUAGGUGUGAGUGAGACUACCAUAUGUGUGUGAGUGAGACUACAGUAGGUGUGAGUGAGACUACAGUAGGUGUGAGUGAGACUACAGUAGGUGUGAGUAGGACUACAGUAGGUGUGAGUGAGACUACCGUAUGUGUGUGAGUGAGAUAUGCCUUUCUGCCCUUGAGCAAAGCAGUAACCAGCAACAACAACUCCUCCCCGGCAACAACGUGUAUUAAGGCACCUCCCUGAUUCAGAGGGGUUGUGUUAAAUGCAGAAGACACAUAUUGGUUGAAUGCGUUCGGUUGAUUCCAGCACUCAAUAUUCAUUAGCCUGUACAAACAUUAUAGGUUUAAAUGCAUUUGUGAAUGUACUGUAGCUCUUAUUAGAGUAGGGUUCAAUCCAACCCUAUCUUUGACUCUAUGGUAUAAUAUAUAUAGAUAUAUACUGUAUAUAUAUAUUGCAUGGCUG
ensembl:lncRNA